GUGUCUCAGGGCAUCACAAAGAGAACAACAAACCUACUGUGAACUUCACUUUUUUGUCUUUGUUAUGUGAACUGGUGAGGCCAUGCUUCAGGUUGCUUCAAAUGUUGCAUGUGCCCAUUUUGGCUCCACAAAUGUGAAUGUCCGGAACGUGGAGGGUGGCAGUAGUACACAGCUUGCAGACCGGACAAAUUGUGGCAGACUACGUUCUCGAUCUCUUUUCAGUUCUAUCGAGGCAAAACACUCAACGGGAGAGACUGAUAAGGACAGAAGCCACACUAGACCUCGUUCAAGAUCCUUUUAUGUUUGUGACACAGAUGAUGAGGGACCAGGUAAUUUUAGCAGAUGCAAUGCUCUCAGACCAAGAUCAAGAUCACUACACCGUGAGGAUGGGAAAAGAAACACUGGUGGGACAUGUAUCACUGCAAAGCCUCCAAUAAAAAGACCUAAAGGAAACUCAAGCAAAUGGGCCAGCAAGGAUCUUGCAGGAAAUAAAGGAAGUUUAAAGGGCGUACCCAUGAUGACCAUUUCUGAGGUGGAUAACUGGGAGAUAAGCUCUUCUUCUAGGAUGAAAUACGGUCAGUAUGUAGACUGGGAAAAGAUUUACCCAGAGGCAGCCAUCCGUUACCGGAAGAUCCUCUCAAGUGACCAUUAUGAGCUCAAAGCAAUGGGUCGCACAGGAUUCUGGUCCAUGCCUCAUACUCUCAGAGCCAAGGCCUUCCAGCACAUCAUCCAUAACAUUGAGACCACAUCCACCAACGCUGAUGUGGACACUUACCAUGGCCUAGUUGGGAAGCUCUUUGGGGAUUUUCAAACAAGCACGCACCCUUUCCCAAAGUUUAUGGAGGAUGGGGAAAUUCCCAGAUACUGCCUAAAUAAAGCAGGUCUGAAUUCAGUGAAAAAAAUUCUCAUUUGUAUAAAUCACCAUUUUCCUGAUGUCACCUUCUGUCCCAUCUUGCCCGCUCUGGUGUCCCUUCUGUUGCACUUCAGUGAGGAUGAAGCCCAGUGCUUCCACAGUAUUUGUUCCCUGGUGACCUACACAGAUUCUAAAAAGCGUUACAUCGACCAGACUUUCCUCACUUCACGUGCUUCAUGCAUGACCUUUGGUGACCUUGCCAAUAAAUACUGCAGGGGCAUCCGGAAGCUAAUAGCUAGCUCUCACCAGAACCUGUUUGAGUUCUACUCUGACUGGAUCAUGUGGAUCUUUGCUGAUCUACCUUUUAUAUACGCCAUCAGAGUGCUGGAUGUCUAUCUCAUGGAGGGCUACAAAGUUUUAUACCGUGUAGCUCUUGCUCUACUCAGCCUUUACAAAGUCUCGGUGUCCUCACGAGUGGCCCACGUCGAUGACUUCAGACAAGACAUUAAGAGUUUUGUGCAGAGUGUGGCACGGCACAGUACUAUUGAUGAACUGCUUCAGAGGGCUUUUAAAAUACAGCUGCCCACACGCAAAGAACUAACUUAUCUUUUCAAUGCCAACAAGCACGCACUAAUUCAUAAGGACAUCCACAAUAAGAGUUCAUACCAAGCUAUGGAUUUUCGGAACUUCAGCUCCUCUGUAGUGACUGAAACAGAGAUGAGGGUGGUCUGGGCUUGGAUUCCAGAGCGAUUUGCUCUAUUCAGUCCUGUGCAACUAUUUAGUACAAAUGUUCAUGGCAGAAGUCUCUCCUCGUUUUAUUCCAAGGUUGAGGGGCAUGAUCCAACUGUUUUACUCUUGAAAACUACAGAUGAGGAGAUUUGUGGAGCAUUCUUGUCUUCUGAUUGGGCUCACAAGAAUUGCUAUGAAAAGGGAUUGAAGUUCUUUGGCACAGGAGAGUGCUUUGUUUUCACUGUGACUACGACCGGGAAUGGAGCGGUACCAGCGUACAGUGCUGCAGAUCUCUGGAAUGUCUGACAAAAGUGAUUCCUCUCACGAUCAAACUCUCUCCACUAGCUCUCGAAUAAACACUUGUGUUGACAGACUAAGUGCAACCUCUCAGGACCAGAGAUACGAGUCUGCUUCAUUCUGCACAUUGUCAACUGCCAAAUUCAUGGCAGGAGAUGAUGAGACACUUUUUAUUGGUGGCGACGGUGGCCAUGCGCUCUACCUGCAGGCUGAUCUGACAGCUGGCUGUUCUGAACACUGUGAUACAUUUGAGAGUCCACCUCUCUGCAGGGGAUGCUUCAAGAUCCAGUCUCUAGAGGUGUGGGGUAUCCAGCAUUCUUUGUCUGUUCCACCACUGCUUUCACAUUGAAGACAUUAGGAGGGCUGUGGAGGAAUGUGUCAAAAUAUAUCAAAGGUCACACUGGCAAAAUGACAUCAUGCCUUAAGACAAAACCAAGGAUAUUGUGUAGUGUAGGACGUAUGUACACUGUUGCAAUACUGUUGCAAAAAAAAACAAAAAAAAACAACAACUGUAAAUAUCAUUUAAGAUUCAAAUUUCCACAAUGUUAUUUAUUUAUAUUUUCAAAGACUUUUUUUAUUAUAUGCCUUGUUAGAUUAUUUUUGUAAUAUUUGUAGUCCUGUCAUUCACUGUAUUUCUGUAAUAACUGCAGUUUUUAAAGACAGUAUUCAAAUAGCAGUUUGUUGAAUUUUAAUAAACAUUCAAAUCAAAAAAAUGUUUUAAAUAAAAAUAGAACUUUUUCACCAAAGAGAUGCAACUGAAGUUGAAUCAUGGCUGUGGUAAAUAAAGUGGAUAUAAAAAAAAAACGGAGUGAAAAUGUUGAAAUGUAAGCUGAGUAAAAUACUGAGGCCUGUAACAGAAAGUUGCAUUUGGCUAAGUUUGAGCAAAUUCUGGAAGGAAUUCUGGAUUGGUUUUU